rnacentral:lncRNA from 1 species
CGGGCACUCCCGCCGGGCACUGCAGAGCAGCGGAGCCUCCGCUCCCUGGCGACCACUUCAGCCUGCCCCGGGGCACUGGCAGGAGCCGGAGCAGGGGAUGGCUCUCCCUGCUCCCUGGCGACCACUUCAGCCUGCCCGGGCACUGGCAGGAGCAGCGAGUUCUGUCUGGCGACCACUACCGCCCGGGCACUGGCAGAGCGGGAGGGUGGCUCUCCCUGCUCCCUGGCGACCAUUCAGCCUGCCCCGGGGCACUGGCAGGAGCCGGAGCAGGGGAUGGCUCUCCCUGCUCCCUGGCGACCACUUCAGCCUGCCCCGGGCACUGGCAGGAGCCGGAGCAGGGGAUUCCCUGCCUCGAUGCUCCGCUGAGACGGUGCCUCGCUCCCUGGCGACACUCAGCUACGGGAUGCGGACGGGGGCCCUGUCCUGGCCUCAGGCCCGGGCACUGGCGCGGCAGGGAGCUUGUUCUGGCGCCACUCACUCCGGACGCGAGGGGAGGUGGCUCUCCCUGCUCCCUGGCGACCACUUCAGCCUGCCCCGGGCACUGGCAGGAGGGAGCAGGGGAUGGCUCUCCCUGCUCCCGGCGACCACUUCAGCCUGCCCGGGGCACUGGCAGGAGCGGAGCAGGGAGAGCCAUCCCCUGCUCCGGCUCCUGCCAGUGCCCUGGGGCAGGCUGAAGUGGUCACCAGGGAGCAGGGAGAGCCAUCCCCUGCCCCGGCUCCUGCCAGUGCCCGGGGCCAGGCUGAAGUGGUCGCCAGGGAGCAGGGAGAGCCAUCCCCUGCUCCGGCUCCUGCCAGUGCCCUGGGGCAGGCUGAAGUGGUCGCCAGGGAGCAGGGAGAGCCAUCCCUUGCUCCGGCUCCUGCCAGUGCCCCGGGGCAGGCUGAAGUGGUCGCCAGGGACCAGGGAGAGCCAUCCCCUGCUCCAGCUCCUGCCAGUGCCCUGGGGCAGGCUGAAGUGGUCAGCAGGGAGCAGGGAGAGCCAUCCCCUGCCCCGGGUCCUGCCAGUGCCCGGGGGCAGGCUGAAGUGGUCACCAGGGAGCAGGGAGAGCCAUCCCCUGCUCGGGCUCCUGCCAGUGCCCCGGGGCAGGCUGAAGUGGUCGCCAGGGAGCAGGGAGAGCCAUCCCCUGCUCCGGCUCCUGCCAGUGCCCCGGUUCAGGCUGAAGUGGUCGCAAGGGAGCAGGGAAAGCCAUCGCCUGCUCCAGCUCCUGCCAGUGCCCUGGGGCAGGCUGAAGUGGUCGCCAGGGAGCAGGGAGAGCGAUCCCCUGCUCCGGCUCCUGCAAGUGCCCCGGGCCAGGCUGAAGUGGUCACCAGGGAGCAGGGAGAGCCAUCCCCUGCCCCGGCUCCUACCAGUGCCCCGGGGCAGGCUGAAGUGGUCGCCAGGGAGCAGGGAGAGCCAUCCCAUGCCCCGGCUCCUGCCAGUGCCCCGGGGCAGGCUGAAGUGGUCGCCAGGGAGCAGGGAGAGCCAUCCCCUGCUCCAGCUCCUGCCAGUGCCCUGGGGCAGGCUGAAGUGGUCACCAGGGAGCAGGGAGAGCCAUCCCCUGCUCUGGCUCCUGCCAGUGCCCCGGGGCAGGCUGAAGUGGUCGCCAGGGAGCAGGGAGAGCCAUCCCCUGCUCUGGCUCCUGCCAGUGCCCCGGGGCAGGCUGAAGUGGUCGCCAGGGAGCAGGGAGAGCCAUCCCCUGCUCGGGCUCCUGCCAGUGCCCCGGGGCAGGCUGAAGUGGUCGCCAGGGAGCAGGGAGAGCCAUCCCCUGCUCCGGCUCCUGCCAGUGCCCCGGGGCAGGCUGAAGUGGUCGCCAGGCAGCAGGGAGAGCCAUCCCCUGCUCCGGCUCCUGCCAGUGC